CCUAGUCUCAAAAUAAGAAAAAGGUAAGAAAGAAAGCAGAAAGGCUAUUCAGUGAAAAGAAAAAAUAUUCAGAUCAAGAAGAGGAACAGAGAGAGAGAGAGGGUUGAGUUUUGAGAGAUGGGGUGGGGAUGGGCGAUCUACGAGAGCGUCGUCGUAUUGGGGUCGCUGUGCCUGCUGGGAUGGACGGGGCUGUGGUUCCUGAACCACAGGCUCUACAAGGAGUACGAAGAGAAGCGCGUCUUGGUUCAGAUCAUCUUCAGCGUCGUCUUCGCCUUCUCCUGCAACCUCUUUCAACUCGUCCUCUUCGAGAUCAUCCCUAUCCUCUCCAAAGAGGCGAGAUGGAUGAACUGGAAGCUGGAUUUGUUUUGUUUGAUACUGUUGCUGGUCUUCAUGCUCCCUUACUAUCAUUGUUUCUUGAUGCUUUGCAACAGCGGUGUAAGGAAGGAACGAGCUGCACUUGGAGCUAUCUUGUUCUUGCUGGCAUUUCUUUAUGCUUUUUGGCGCAUGGGCAUUCACUUUCCCAUGCCAUCACCUGAUAAAGGUUUCUUCACUAUGCCUCAAUUAGUCAGUAGAAUUGGUGUCAUUGGUGUUACUGUCAUGGCUGUCUUAUCUGGUUUUGGAGCCGUAAAUUUGCCAUACAGUUACUUGUCGCUCUUCAUUAGAGAGAUUGAGGAGGCAGAGAUCAAGGGCUUGGAGAGACAACUAAUGCAAUCAAUUGAGACUUGCUUAGCAAAGAAAAAGAAAAUUAUUCUUUCUCAAAUGGAGAUGGAGCGCAUUCAAGGAUCAGAGGAGAUAAAGGCUAGAUCCUUCUUUAACCGAAUUGUUGGCACAGUUGUACGAUCUAUGCAGGAGGACCAAAGGCAGCAAGACAUCACAAGCAUGGAAGCGGAGGUACAAGCCUUAGAAGAGCUCUCAAAGCAGCUAUUUUUGGAAAUCUAUGAGCUACGGCAAGCUAAGGAGGCUGUUGCUUAUUCUCGAACCUGGAGGGGUCACAUGCAGAAUCUACUUGGCUAUGCAUGUUCUGUCUAUUGUGUAUACAAAAUGCUUAAGUCUUUGCAAAGUGUUGUUUUCAAGGAGGCUGGUUCAGUUGAUCCUGUGACUAUGACAAUAAGCAUAUUCUUGCAGUUCUUUGAUAUAGGAAUUGAUGCUGCGUUAUUGUCGCAGUAUAUUUCCUUGUUGUUCAUCGGAGUGUUGAUUGUUAUAUCAGUUCGGGGAUUCCUAACAAACCUAAUGAAGUUCUUUUUUGCAGUUUCCAGAGUUGGGAGUGGAUCUUCGAGCAAUGUAGUACUUUUUCUGUCUGAAAUUAUGGGAAUGUAUUUCGUGUCCUCUAUUCUUUUGAUAAGGAAAAGCUUAGCUACUGAAUAUAGGAUAAUCAUAACAGACGUAUUGGGGGGAGAUAUUCAGUUUGACUUUUAUCACCGUUGGUUUGAUGCGAUAUUUGUGGCCAGUGCUUUCCUUUCUCUGCUUUUGCUCUCUGCACAUUAUACAUCUCGCCAAGCUGACAAACAUCCAAUUGAUUAAUGUAAUUUACUGCAAAACAGGAAGCUUACUUGUACAAUGUAAAAGCUUCAAGGCCAAAGGAAGGUACAAUAUUCAGGUAAAAAGCUGUUCAGUAAUGCUGAGAAAAGUUUUAAAACGCCUCAAGACAAGAGAAUUCUUUUAUGUGAGCGAUUAAGGAUGAUUAAUGGUGAAGGGCAAUACAGUGAAGCUAAGUCCAAGAACAUGAGUCCUGCGUUAGUGCGUUUAGCCUCGAUUAUUCUUGUGUGUAUAAUUUUUUUGUAUGCAGGAAAGCAGUAUUUGGCUGCUAUGAUGAAUGAUAUCUGAUUUUGUUAAUUCAUUCAUUUCCAAAUUGUUAUUCUUUCAAUUUAUAUGGGGUGAUAGAAAAGAUGAAUCUAAUUCCAAUUUAUGCCAAUAUUGUUUCAAAUUAUUUAGCAUAGUGUCAGGCUGAGCCAACAGAGGCGGAUUUGGUGACAUUUCUAAACGCAGUUGUGUACGGAUUAUAGCCGAGACAAAGAAUCUGCUAUUGGCGUGCUCUUUAUAUUCCGGGUAUAAUGGGGUGGUGACUAUGGAGGUGAUGAAUAAUAGUAGUAAUAGACGUUUUACUCAGUCUCAUUUAUUUCAUUGGUCAUGAAUAUUGUGAUUUAUAUGCUGACUAUUGAGUACCAAUGAUUUUAUAGCCUUGCGGUAGUUCUAUCUAAAAGUGAAGGUCUGAGGUUUGAUCUUCCAUGAGUAUGGGAUUGAUAGGAUAAAAAGGGUUACACGUACAGAUGAUAUUGAGCUUCAAGCUGGAGCAAUGAGCAUGCUUCAUUUCUCUAGAGUGAAAGCAUCUUCUAAGAGGCCUACAUGAUUGCCAAUUUGCAUGCUAUUUUUUUUUUACUAUAACCCUGAAGUUUCACCAAGCUAGGGCUCUCUUAUGAAUCUCCCAAAGCAGAUUUUGGCGGGGUGGGAAGCCCAUCUGUACUACAAACAAAACGGUACAUGGGUGGGGCCAAGCGAAUAGAUACAAAGCCAGCGAAAGCAUGAGAGGGUCUAACACAGUGGCUCAACCCGGAUUAGGGUCCUCUUCAUUUUAAGUGAAAUGGAGAAUAUUUAUUUUAUGGUUCAAAUUAGAUUUUGCAGAUAUAAUGUUGUAUGUGUUACAACAUAGUGAAUAUGUUUUAUCAUUUAAAUUUUUUAAAUGAUAUGAGAUUUUAUACCGUUAAAUGUAACAUAAUAAGUUGUUUGGUAACAAAGCCUAAAAUUUCCAAUUUCCA